rnacentral:ncRNA from 2 species
CCAAUAGCGUAUAUUAAAGUUGUUGCAGUUAAAAAGCUCGUAGUUGAAUUUCGGGAUCAAAGGAUCGGUCAUGCCUUGGUAUGUACUGGUUUUAUUGGUUCUCACCUUCUAAAGAACCAUAAUGUCAUUCAUUUGAUGUUAUGGGGAAUUAGGACUGUUACCUUGAAAAAAUUAGAGUGUUUAAAGCAGGCUUACGCUUGAAUACAUUAGCAUGGAAUAAUGAAAUAGGACAUCAGAUUCUAUUUUGUUGGUUUCUAGGAUCGAUGUAAUGAUUAAUAGGGAUAGUUGGGGGCAUUAGUAUUCAAUUGUCAGAGGUGAAAUUCUUGGAUUUAUUGAAGACUAACUACUGCGAAAGCAUUUGCCAAGGAUGUUUUCAUUAAUCAAGAACGAAAGUUAGGGGAUCGAAGACGAUCAGAUACCGUCGUAGUCUUAACCAUAAACUAUGCCGACUAGGGAUCGGAUGAUGUUAAUUUUAUAAUGACUCAUUCGGCACCUUACG